rnacentral:rRNA from 1 species
CCUACGGGGGGCAGCAGUAGGGAAUAUUGCUCAAUGGGGGAAACCCUGAAGCAGCAACGCCGCGUGGAGGAUGAAGGUUUUCGGAUUGUAAACUCCUUUUGUUAGAGAAGAUAAUGACGUUAUCUAACGAAUAAGCACCGUCUAACUCCGUGCCAGCAGCCGCGGUAAUACGGCGGGUGCAAGCGUUACUCGGAAUCACUGGGCGUAAAGGGCGCGUAGGCGGGAUAGCAAGUCAGAUGUGAAAUCCUAUGGCUUAACCAUAGAACUGCAUUUGAAACUGUUAUUCUAGAGUAUGGGAGAGGUAGGUGGAAUUCUUGGUGUAGGGGUAAAAUCCGUAGAGAUCAAGAGGAAUACUCAUUGCGAAGGCGACCUGCUAGAACAUAACUGACGCUGAUGCGCGAAAGCGUGGGGAGCAAACAGGAUUAGAUACCCGGGUAGUC